rnacentral:rRNA from 1 species
GGCAGCUCUAGUGGUAGCCAUUUUAUUGGGCCUAAAGCGUUCGUAGCCGGUUUGAUAAGUCUCUGGUGAAAUCCUAUAGCUUAACUGUGGGACUUGCUGGAGAUACUAUUAGACUUGAGGUCGGGAGAGGUUAGCGGUACUCCCAGGGUAGGGGUGAAAUCCUGUAAUCCUGGGAGGACCACCUGUGGCGAAGGCGGCUAACUGGAACGAACCUGACGGUGAGGGACGAAAGCCAGGGGCGCGAACC